AGGGCAAGUCUGGUGCCAGCAGCCGCGGUAAUUCCAGCUCCAAUAGCGUAUAUUAAAGUUGUUGCAGUUAAAAAGCUCGUAGUUGAAUUUCGGGGUUCUACCGUUGGUCGGGCUAUUGUCUGUACUGGUGUGCAGAAUUUCUACCUUCUGGGGAACUAUCAUGUUAUUAAUUUAGCGUGGUAGGAAACCAGGACCUUUACCUUGAAAAAAUUAGAGUGUUCAAAGCAGGCUUAUGUCUGAAUACAUUAGCAUGGAAUAAUAAAAUAGGACGGUGGUCCUGUUUUGUUGGUUUCUGAAUCACCGUAAUGAUUAAUAGGGAUAGUUGGGGGCAUUAGUAUUCAAUUGUCAGAGGUGAAAUUCUUGGAUUUAUUGAAGACUAACUACUGCGAAAGCAUUUGCCAAGGAUGUUUUCAUUAAUCAAGAACGAAAGUUAGGGGAUCGAAGACGAUCAGAUACCGUCGUAGUCUUAACCAUAAACUAUGCCGACUAGGGAUCGGACGAUGUUAACUUUUCUUGACUCGUUCGGCGCCUUACGGGAA
rnacentral:rRNA from 1 species